rfam:Danio rerio chromosome 4, GRCz11 reference primary assembly.
GCAUUGGUGGUUCACUGGUAGAAUUCUUGCCUGCCAUGCGGGAGACCCUGGUCCGGUUCCUGGCCAAUGCA